rnacentral:rRNA from 1 species
UGGCGGCGUGGUUAAGACAUGCAAGUCGAACGGGAGAAUUGCUAGCUUGCUAAUAAUUCUCUAGUGGCGCACGGGUGAGUAACACGUGAGUAACCUGCCCCCAAGAGUGGGAUAGCCCCGGGAAACUGGGAUUAAUACCGCAUAAAAUCGCAAGAUUAAAGCAGCAAUGCGCUUGGGGAUGGGCUCGCGUCCUAUUAGUUAGUUGGUGAGGUAACGGCUCACCAAGGCGAUGACGGGUAGCCGGUCUGAGAGGAUGUCCGGCCACACUGGAACUGAGACACGGUCCAGACACCUACGGGUGGCAGCAGUCGAGAAUCAUUCACAAUGGGGGAAACCCUGAUGGUGCGACGCCGCGUGGGGGAAUGAAGGUCUUCGGGUUGUAAACCCCUGUCAUGUGGGAGCAAAUUAAAAAGAUAGUACCACAAGAGGAAGAGACGGCUAACUCUGUGCCAGCAGCCGCGGUAAUACAGAGGUCUCAAGCGUUGUUCGGAAUCACUGGGCGUAAAGCGUGCGUAGGCGGUUUCGUAAGUCGUGUGUGAAAGGCGGGGGCUCAACCCCCGGACUGCACAUGAUACUGCGAGACUAGAGUAAUGGAGGGGGAACCGGAAUUCACGGUGUAGCA